CGGUCUUGAAAACCGAAGUAUUGAUAGGAAUACCGGGGGUUCGAAUGCCCGAUCCAGCAAUAUCGCGUGAGUGAAGAAGGGCAAUGCCGCUUGUAAAGCUCUUUUGUCGAGUGCGCGAUCAUGACAGGACUCGAGGAAGAAGCCCCGGCUAACUCCGUGCCAACAGCCGCGGUAAGACCGGGGGGGGGGGGGGCAAGUGUUCUUCGGAAUGACUAGGCGUAAAGGGCACGUAGGCGGUGAAUCGGGUUGAAAGUGAAAGUCGCCAAAAAGUGGCGGAAUGCUGGCGGCAUAGGAACCACGGGAACCUAGGAGGGAGAAAGACGAUGUACGGUAUAUGGGAUCCUCGUAGUAGGCUGGACCAAAAUCCAGCCAAGAGAGGGCAGCCUUUAGAAGCAACAGGUGGGGAAACCAAGAGAAGGCUUCGCCUUUUCUUAUCUUCUUC
rnacentral:ncRNA from 1 species